rnacentral:rRNA from 1 species
GUGAGGAAUAUUGGUCAAUGGGCGAGAGCCUGAACCAGCCAAGUCGCGUGAAGGAUGAAGGUUUUAUGAAUUGUAAACUUCUUUUGCAGGGGAAUAAAGUACGGUACGUGUACCGUUUUGUAUGUACUCUGCGAAUAAGGAUCGGCUAACUCCGUGCCAGCAGCCGCGGUAAUACGGAGGAUCCAAGCGUUAUCCGGAUUUAUUGGGUUUAAAGGGUGCGCAGGCGGGUUGAUAAGUCAGCGGUGAAAGUUUGCAGCUUAACUGUAAAAAUGCCGGUGAAACUGUCGGACUUGAGUGUAAAUGAGGUAGGCGGAAUGCGUGGUGUAGCGGUGAAAUGCAUAGAUAUCACGCAGAACUCCGAUUGCGAAGGCAGCUUACUAAGCUACAACUGACACUGAAGCACGAAAGCGUGGGGAUCAAACAGGAUUAGAAACCCUAGUAGUCC